GUUCUAUGGUGAAUGUUGGGGUUAUCAUCAUUUUGAUGUGAGCCAAUCCCAUGCAAACGAAUGUUGGGGGAAAUCAUGGCAAAAACCAAACUACAGUUCUGGCAACCAGAAUAGCAAAAAUCCAGUAUAUGUUGGAUCAGCAAAUCACUGCUAUAUUUAUCAUCUACAUCCAAUAGACAAAUGAUGAAGAACUCCAGUGACUCUACAAUAGGUUUUUGUAAGCGGCAUAAAAACUGUUGCCUAUCCUAAAAUUCAUGAUUUUUUACAGCAAUAAAUAAAACGUUGUGU